rnacentral:rRNA from 1 species
UACGUAGGUGGCAAGCGUUGUCCGGAUUUACUGGGUGUAAAGGGUCCGUAGGCGGUGUGGCAAGUCGGGAGUGAAAUCUCUGGGCUUAACCCAGAGGCUGCUUCCGAAACUGCCAUGCUGGAGUGUGGGAGAGGCGAGUGGAAUUGCAGGUGUAGCGGUGAAAUGCGUAGAUAUCUGCAGGAACACCCGUGGCGAAGGCGGCUCGCUGGACCACAACUGACGCUGAGGAACGAAAGCUAGGGGAGCAAACAGG